AGCAGUAGCAGGCCACAGUGGGUUUUUGGAUUUCCCAGCGACCACCGCAUCCGGAGGAGAUGACGACGCGGCUACAGUCCGUUUGCUGCGUGCACCGCCGCCUUCUCCAACUCUCGCCUCCUUCCUCUACUCCUCCCUCCUGCCCCCGUCGCAGAAGCCUCUCCGGCCCUUCCGCCGUCCUUCCUCCUGUUAACCUUCGAUGGUACGGCCGCAGUUUCCGCUUCCGGAACGCAUCCACAGGUCGAUCGAUUCUGCCGGGCAAGGUGUUAGCCUAUUUGCCCGAUUCAGAGAACUCCAACGGCGCGGUAAAAGAGGCGAAUCCGUCCAGUGUUGAUUCGAACGUUGGAUCCUUGGUUAGCGCGAGGGAUUUCGACGCGGUCCUCCGGUCUGGGUCUCACGCGAGGGGCAGCUUUGACCCCUUUCGUGGGAAGUCGGGUUCUGUGUCUUUCUGCGGAUUGACUCACCAGAUGGUGGAAGAGAGGAAGCUGGUUUCUUCCCCCUUCAAGGACAGCACAGGAUCGCUCGUGUGGAUUUUAGGUCCUCUAGCUCUGAUAUCUUCGCUCGUGGUUCCACAAUUUUUUCUCGGCAACGUUAUCGAGUCGGUUCUACGAGAUGAGAUCCUUGCAGAAAUUGUCGCCUCAUUGUCUUCAGAGGCCAUAUUCUAUGUCGGGCUUGCUGCAUUUCUGUCAGUAACUGAUCAUGUACAACGCCCAUAUCUUGACUUCAGCCCGAAAAGAUGGAGCCUUAUCACCGGCCUCAGAGGCUACCUGUCCUCGGCUUUCUUCACCAUGGGUUUCAAGGUGUUUGCUCCUCUUCUUGCGGCCUAUGUUGUUUGGCCAGUGAUUGGUCUCCCUGCUGUGGUUGCCGUUGCUCCAUUUCUGAUGGGUUGUGCUGCACAAUAUGCAUUUGAGACACACCUCGACAGACGUAAUUCAUCUUGUUGGCCUGUAUUGCCAAUAAUCUUUGAGGUAUAUAGACUGUAUCAGUUGAACAAGGGUGCACAUUUUAUAGAAAGGUUAUUGUUUCUAAUGAGAGGAUCGUCUACGAACACUGCAGUAAUGGAAAGAAGUAGCGCAUUCAUUUCCAUGCUAGCCGUUCUCCAAAUCCUUGGUGUUGUUUGCCUGUGGUCUUUAAUGACUUUUCUUCUAAGACUUUUCCCUUCUAGACCUGUGGCAGAGAACUAUUGAAUUCUCUCGAGCUUUUCUCAAUUUGUCAUGAUAGUGCACAUGAGCAGAGCAGCAUGGUACCUGAGGAACUGUGUGAUUGGUGACUUUGAUGAUGGAUGAUUGUGACGAAAUAGAAUCCACCUCUUUAAAAGCACUAACUGACAAAAUUAGCUGGUGCCAAAAUGGACAGUAUGGGAUUUGAAGCUGAGAAGUGUUGAUAUUCAAUAGCAAGUCUCUUUUACAUUUUCUUCAAGACAAAUAAAAAUUCAUACGAAAGUAAAUGUUGCAUGAUUUGGGCAUGAAGGGUAGAAGAAGGUAAUGUUUCAGACUAAGAUUUCUGUUUGAUGUAGGUAUAAUGUAUGAAAUCUGGGGACUGUGCAUACCAGUUAACGAAAAAGGGAAUUGGUAAAUGGAAAAUGCAAGUGUUAAGAUGUGCGAACAGCAGGCCAGAUCUAUAAUGAUAUUAGAUGAUUCAGAGAUGUUUUCAAAAAGGUCGACUUGUUGGGUGGCCAACCCGGAGAUUGAAUUGUCCAAGAUUUAAGACACAAUCUCUGGGAAAUAAUCCAUCAAGAGAUUGGAUACGAUGAACAUAGUUUUAAAGCUAAAUUCAUGAGCUUGCCUUGCCCAUGGAAGUGGCCAACUUUUCCAGCCAGAAUAAAAAAUUGAAUUUCUUUUGUUACUUUUGGAUUAGUUUCAUCAUCCACUGAAGUGUCGUGAUUUUAAUGCUUGCUUAGCUGCAGUUUAAAUGCCUAUUUGUUAUUUUGUAUAUAUUUUUUCUUGGAUAGAGUAAAGUGAUAGAUAGUAAAUCAUGGCACAUUCUAUUCCAGCUUGAUUGAUAUGUUUUUGAAGUCAUUGCAAAAUUUAGAUAAUGUAUACAUACUAUAGAUGUGAGUCGUAACAGAUGAGAAGAUUAAAUUUAACAAAUCAUUAUUCACAUUCUGUUCCUGGGAACAAUUUGUUACAAUGCAGAUGAAAUUUUUAGUUUUUUUUUCUUGUCUCAAUAAGUGUAUAUCGAAACUU